rnacentral:rRNA from 1 species
AGCCCAGAGUCUGAAUCAGCGCGUGUGUUAGUGGAACGGUCUGGAAAGUCCGGCGGUACAGGGUGAUAGCCCCGUACACUAAAAUGCACACGUUGUGAACUCGAAGAGUAGGGCGGGACACGUGGUAUCCUGUCUGAAUAUGGGGGGACCAUCCUCCAAGGCUAAAUACUCCUGACUGACCGAUAGUGAACCAGUACCGUGAGGGAAAGGCGAAAAGAACCCCGGCGAGGGGAGUGAAAAAGAACCUGAAACCGUGUACGUACAAGCAGUGGGAGCCUACUUGUUAGGUGACUGCGUACCUUUUGUAUAAUGGGUCAGCGACUUAUAUUCUGUAGCAAGGUUAACCGUAUAGGGGAGCCGCAGGGAAACCGAGUCUUAACUGGGCGUUAAGUUGCAGGGUAUAGACCCGAAACCCGGUGAUCUAGCCAUGGGCAGGUUGAAGGUUGGGUAACACUAACUGGAGGACCGAACCGACUAAUGUUGAAAAAUUAGCGGAUGACUUGUGGCUGGGGGUGAAAGGCCAAUCAAACCGGGAGAUAGCUGGUUCUCCCCGAAAGCUAUUUAGGUAGCGCCUCGUGAA